rnacentral:tRNA from 2 species
GGCGGAGUAGCUCAGCUGGUUAGAGCAUUCGGUUCAUACCCGAAGUGUCGGGGGUUCGAGUCCCUCCUCCGCUA